rnacentral:rRNA from 1 species
AACUUUCAACAAUGGAUCUCUUGGUUCUGGCAUCGAUGAAGAACGCAGCGAAAUGCGAAAAGUAGUGUGAAUUGCAGAAUUCCGUGAAUCAUCGAAUCUUUGAACGCACAUUGCGCCCCUCGGUAUUCCGUGGGGCAUGCCUGUUCGAGCGUCGUUUACACCCUCAAGCUCUGCUUGGUGUUGGGCGUCUGUCCCGCUUUAUGCGUGGACUCGCCCCAAAGUCAUU